rnacentral:rRNA from 1 species
GGCAGAUUAGGUAGUUGGUGAGGUAAAGGCUCACCAAGCCUUCGAUCUGUAGCUGGUCUGAGAGGACGACCAGCCACACUGGGACUGAGACACGGCCCAGACUCCUACGGGAGGCAGCAGUGGGGAAUUUUGGACAAUGGGCGAAAGCCUGAUCCAGCAAUGCCGCGUGCAGGAAGAAGGCCUUCGGGUUGUAAACUGCUUUUGUACGGAACGAAAAGGCUCUUUCUAAUAAAGAGGGCCCAUGACGGUACCGUAAGAAUAAGCACCGGCUAACUACGUGCCAGCAGCCGCGGUAAUACGUAGGGUGCAAGCGUUAAUCGGAAUUACUGGGCGUAAAGCGUGCGCAGGCGG